GUCACUAAUUCAGCAUUAAAGGUUAGCGCGUACGACUGUUAAUCGUGAGGUUGAGAGUUCGAUCCUCUCCCGGGACG
rnacentral:tRNA from 1 species